UGUCUCCCCUGCCCCGCCCCCACCGUGUUACGACUUGCACUGGCAUUAAAAGUUGUAACAAGGUUUCUUUAGGUGAACCUGCGGAAGGAGUCAUUA
rnacentral:rRNA from 1 species